AAGUCCAGGGCCAAUUAAAACCAAUGGGGGAUUUGCACUCCGAGGACUGGACU
rnacentral:tRNA from 1 species